AGCAAGGUAUCGGGCCCAAAAAGCAGUUGAAACUUCCCAUGUUGAGGACUCGGAUGGAAAUAGUUCACGAAAAAUUAUACCACCAAGAAGAUUUAGAGGUAUAAAAUCUGUGCUGACACUGUAAAUAAGGUAAAGUUUUCACACUGAAAGACAAUUGCAGUUGUAACUUUUGUUUCUUGCAGAAGAAGAACUUCAGCCCACCAAACCUAGAAAGACACCACAGACAAAACAAUUUCUUGAGGACAGUGAAUCAUCCCAAGAUGAGAUUUCCAGUUUGAGAGUAAAGAAAAUAAACAAACGGCCAAGAUCAACAGCAAUUGCAUCUAAGUGUAAGUAGUAAGUUAACAAAAAGUAAUCAACUGUUGAUGGUAAUCUAAAAUGGAAUCGUCUUUCUAUGUUGUGCAAAAAUGAUUCAUGAAGGCCAUAACAUUAAAGGGAUAGUUAACCCAA